rnacentral:lncRNA from 1 species
GAUUAAGUAUCACGAUCAAUUAACUGAUUAAAAGCAUAAAAAUUGUUCAACAGAAUUCUCAAAAUUGGUCACGCUGGCACUCAAUCUUAAACAUAUAAGUGAAGAACAAUUAAAGUACAAAAGACAAAUAAAAUCCUCCAUUCUAGAAAAAACUAAGACUAUAUAAUAGCCUUAAGAAACUACCAACAGCAAAAUAACAUUGAUAUCAUAACAAAAUGACAGAACUUAUUUCUUCUUGCCAGCCUUGGCAGCAUCUCCAGCCUUGGUCUGCAAAAACACAAUGAAAGAGAUUAUACUUCCAAAGUUUUACAAAGCAAAAUGUAUAAAAUGAAAAAUUAUCAACACAGAACAUAUGAUUUACCUUCUUUACUCCACGGAUCUUCUUUGCCCGGUUCUUUCUUUCCUUCAUUUGCUUCCUUGACUUUUCAACCUUAGUAUCAAGUCCAUUCUGCAAUAGAAGAAAAGAAAAUGAAUUAUAAUUUUCAAUAACAUAAGAACAGAGCCAAAAUGCAAAUUUAACUGAAUGGGAAGAAUCAUUAAUCAACUAAAUUUACAAGAUAAUAAGCCCUUCGCAAAUUUCGGAAAUGAAAGAGUUUAGUAAAACAUGUGCCCAAAGGGAAAGGAUAAAACAAAAUAACUAUCAUCAAUAACAAAAUUCUCCAAGCAAAUCAUUUUAUUUAAAAAUUGAAGGCAGACGCAGACAGCAUUGGACAAAUGGGUAGAUAAUUAUAGGAAAAUUGCUCAAUGAACUUAUAUCUAAACUACGCGAGAAAAUAAAGAAUAAAUCUACACAAGAAAUUAAACAGUUUGGACAAAAUAUGCAUUUAAAAUUAAAUGAAGAGUGGAAAAGGACUCCCUUAAGAAACAAACUAAUUAAACAUGUUGUAGUGAAGGCUUAUAAAAGCACCAGAAACUUUUUAACAACCACAAAAAAUAGCAAACCAAAUCAUUUCCCCUCAAAUCAAAAGGAAGUGCAACAUCAAACAUAAGAACAGAGUUAACAAAAGUAGAACGCAAGCAAAUCAUUAGAUGCACAACCAAGGCGUGUCCUUAACAGUGUCAACAAAAGUAUUUUAACCUGUUUUUCAGUAUUACUCCAUAUCCCACAAGUAAAAAAGGAAUCAGAACGAAAAACCAAAACUUCUUCGUGCCAAAUGAAUAGAAUUCACACAUACCAAUAAAUGUGAUUACGCAUUUGUCUUAAAUUUCUAUUAUUCUAUAUGCCAGUACCUCGUCAGCAUAAUCGAGAAUUUCAAGUGCUUCAUGUUCAAGCCAUUCCAGACUUCAAGGCAUCAUAUUAUUUCAAUAUAACAGACAUCUAAAUAUUUAUUCUCAAUGUCUAUGUUGCAUACUACAGUAUUAAUUUAAGAAUACACAUUGUCAGCAACAAACAUCAUGAACAAAUAAAUACUGUGAAUGACAGACACAUGAAGCACUACACUCAAUGAAAAAUAAAAGAAUAAUAACAUGUAUAAGGUAAUCUUAAUUUAAACAAAGAUCACAGCAGACAAGAAAAGUUACAAAGUGAAUCCAAGAAAAGAGAUAGAAUUAACUCACCCUAACAAGUCUAUAUUUUGGCUCGUAUUUCUUUGCAUUCUCAACAGAAUCAUAGAUCAAACCAAAACCAGUGGACUUGCCACCUCCAAAAUGAGUUCUGAACUUGAACACAAAAACAGUGUUUGGGUCCUUCACAUCGUAAAUCCUUGCAAGCUUCUCCUUUAGCUCAGCCUUCACACCAAACACAAAAGGUAAUUCAGUUUCAGCUUCUAUAAACCAACAUAAAUUCUAAAAACUAAAAACUAUAUGACAUAAACCAAUCUAACCUAACAUUCAUUCAAAUCAAAACUAACCCCUAAUUAUCAACCAUCAAAUGAUAAUCAUAGGUACCUUGGAUACAUUUGCCCUCCCUGGAUGAAGAACAUCAAUAACCUGCAACCCAGAAAAAAACGUAAGAAUCUCAACCAAUAACAUAAUAGAAAACACUCAUUAUCUGAAUCACAUUAAAAAACAUGAUAGAAAACCGUAAUUAUCAAUCUAGUUAUAUGAUAAAAUAAAAAGAAUCGUUUUUGUUGUAAAAUAAGCAUAAAAUCACAAUGGAGUUGAAUAAAUUAGAGUCUACGAGAUCUGAUUUCAAUUAGGAUUUGUGAAGAAAAACGAAAAGAAAACUCACAAAUUGCUUCCUGGAGAGAAGCCUGUUUGUCAUGAAUUUCCUGGUUCUGAUUGUCACUGCCUUGUCUGCCAUGGUUAUGAUUUUCGGCGCCGGUGAUAGAGAUGCACUCCCACUACUUAGCAAGGCGGCUGCACA